rnacentral:lncRNA from 1 species
GCGUCCGUCUGUCCUGCGGUUUCCACCUGUCCUGUGCAGCCGGGUUUGGGCGGGAAGUGUCCGUCUGUCCCACAUUGUCCAUCCUACAGCAUCUGUCUGUCCUGCAGCGGACAGGAGGCGUCCGUCUGUCCCGCAGCGUUUGUCUGUCCUGCAGUGGGGUUCAGGCAGGCGGUGUCUGUCCGUCCCGUAUUGGGGCCGGGCAGGAGGCAUCUGUCCAUCCCGCAGUGUCCGUCCGUCCGUCCCGCUGCCGUCAGUCCCUGAGCGCCGUUUCUCCCCCGCAGAUUUUCCGCUCGCUGCCGCCGGGUUACAACAUCAGCAAGGCGGUGCUGGAGCAAUGCCUGGCGCUCAUGGCCGACGACCCGGUGAGCCUGUGGGUGCUGGGGGAUCCUGUGGGUGCUGGGGGAUCCUAUGGGGUGCUGUGGGAUGCUAUGGGUGCUGUGGGAUCCUAUGGGUGCUGUGGGAUCCUAUGGGGCGCUGUGGGAUGCUAUGGGUGCUGUGGGAUGCUAUGGGUGCUGUGGGAUGCUAUGGGUGCUGUGGNNNNNNNNNNNNNNNNNNNNNNNNNGGGCUGUGGGAUCCUGUGGGUGCUGGGGGAUCCUGUGGGUGCUGGGGGAUCCUAUGGGGUGCUGUGAGAUUCUGUGGGGCGCUGUGGGAUCCUGUGGGUGCUGUGGAAUCCUGUGGGGGGCUGUGGGGCGCUGUGAGGUGCUGUGAGAUCCUAUGGGUGCUGUGGGGUGCUGUGAGAUCCUGUGGGCACUGUGGGAUCCUAUGGGUGCUGUGGGAUCCUACACGGGGCUGUGGGAGGCUGUGAGAUGCUAUGGGGCACUGUGGGAUCCUGUGGGCGCUGUGGGAUCCUAUGGGUGGUGUGGGAUCCUAUGGGGCGCUGUGAGAUGCUGUGGGGG